GCCCUCAGCAGUGAGAUGCCGAAAAGAACAGAGGCUUGGCAUAAAUAAGCCAGCUUGCUGGGGUCAGUGGAAGAAGCCUUGCUGUCCCCAGGAAGCGGCUCCUACGCAAUGGAUACAGAGGCUCGGCCAGAGACAGAGCCGACAGGCAGAAGGAAGGAAGAGCCUUCCAGACCCACGGAGCUGGAGAGACUGCCGUGUGAGCCAAGAGGAUCUAUGCACUGGGUAGCAGCAGGCUCUGGCUGACUGAAUGGCAGUGUAUAUACAGCCAGCCUCCAUCAGCCCUUUGGGGAACCAUGAGUCACGGCAUAUGUAGCCUCAGGCGUGUGGAUUCUGCCAGUCCACAUGCCAUGCUUUCUUCACAGCACUGGGAGCGUUAAGUACAGGGAAGGCAUUGGGCACAGGGCAGCAUGCAAGGGGCAGGGCAGGCAAAGCAGACUGCUCCUGGCUGGACACUAUAACCUGGCAGUGGGGAGGACUGGAGAAGUGGCCCCAAGCAAGCCCCUGAAGCCAUAAAGUCCUAAGGCCAUUUUAUUUAAUGAGCAGACUUGACUAAAAUAAUGGAAAGCUCACACCUGUAAUCCCAGCACUGAAGAUGCAGAGAGAGUUGGGUUGCUGAGUUCAAGGCUUGUCUAGGUUGACCAAAGCAAAGCAAAGCAAAGCACAGCAAACAAUCCAUUAUCUCCCUCCCGAAUGAAUCGUCACAGCAGCCCAGCCCCUACUGAAGGCUCCUGUCCCCCGUCCACAGGCCUGCUCUCUGCUACCCCUAACCUAGAAAGCACACCAUAUGCAAAGCUCAGACUUCGGCCUGAGAAAUGUCCUUGCACUUUUACCUUCCUGACAGGUGAGGAUCUUCCACAACACCUUCUGUGCUCUCAACAUGCCUGGCCACCACAGGUGCUGCAUACAGCCGUCGCCUGCCACUGUUCUUCAGUGUGGAGCAGGGUUUACUGGCUACCUUCAGCUGCUAUGUAAUAGAGAACCCAGGUGCCAAACAUGUUUAGCACUAGCUAGUUCCAAUGUCUGGGCUCCCUGAAAACAUGAGAAAGAGGCAGAAGGUAGCUAAAAAGGGGUCUAAGAAAGAAAGGCUGAUUGAUGUGAGACUGGGAGAAGGCAGGGAGGGGCACUAAAGGUCACUUCUUGCUCUACACCUUUUCUGCCUGUCUAAGACAGGGUCUUGCCUUUUUAGCCCAGAACUUCUGAACUUACGGACCUUCCCGCCUCAGUCUCUGGAGUGCUAGAAAUCUAGGCCUGUACCACCGUAUCAUAUCCUGCAGCUUCUCUCAGGAUUCAACCUAAUGCUUUUAAAUCCUGAGACAAAGCCGGGGUGGGGAGCAGGACACGAUUAAGCUGGGUGUGGUGGCACUUGUCAGAAGUCCUACCUACACUAAUAGGCUAGUCACUUUAGCGCAGGUGUAAGGCCAGUCUGGGUAACUAGCAAAACCCUGCCUCAAGGCAAACCUACACAGAUAAAGAACAAAGCCGUAAGUAGCAAAAGACAGUUACUGGACAGCUAGCUCACUUACUUAUUCCAUAAAUAAUUCACUGAAGAUUUAUUCUGUCACAGACAACAGGCCAAGCAGCCAGGCUAAAAUUAAAAAAAAAAAUUGAUAGUGGGGAACCAUUUAGGUUUUAUGGUAAGGCCUUCUACUAAUGAUCUCAUUUAGUUCUCACAAUAGCCAGCAAAGUGUUCUGAACCACCAGGCCACACUACUGCUUCACUGUGGUGUCACCCCGGGAGCCCUCCUGGGAGCCUGAGAACAGCCACCAAAAGGGGCUCUGUGUGGCGGCACACACCUGUAAUCACUGCACUUGGGAGGUGGAGGCAAGAGGAUCGAUCAGAAGUUCAAGGCCAACCUGAGCUGCACGAGGUCUUGUCUCAAUCCUCUCCCCACCCACCCGCAAAGGCUCCCCAAGAGGCAUGAAUGGGACGUGUGGAGGACAGCCCUGUGACUUAGUGACGCCACAAAAAGUCAGUACUGUGUGAACAUUGCCACUGUGCUCUGUAGCCGGCUCCCACACAGGAGCGCUCUGGAGAAAUCCCAUGAGCAGUACAUUUCCUCCAGUUGUGUCCUGUGGACCAGGCCGGGGCCCUUGCUCAGGCUCGAGGCCCAGCCAGGGAUGGAGACACUGCACUUAGCUGGAAAAUGAGCGGAAGUUGGUGGGGCCACAAUGGAUGCACUGCAGUUGCCCUGACUCCAGAAGCUCAGACAGGAAGGCUCGGCUCACCAACCAGAGCCAGAGGUGGCUCCUACAGGAAGGGUUAAAUAGGAGUCUGCCAAUAGAAAAGGCAGGGAGGGGAAGGAAAUGGCUUCUUUCUCUCCUGAAAACCUGAUUAAAACAAAGCUGUAUGGC
rnacentral:lncRNA from 1 species